AGCGUCGUCGCCGAGCGGGCCGGGGCCCACUUAGAACACCACCUGCGGAGUCGCUCGUCACUUCGUCGCCGUCUCCGUCGUCUCUCCCCCUUUCCACGCCCCUCCAGAAGCCACCCUGCCGCUGCCGCUCCGAUCCAACCUACCCCCCAUGGCCUUCGCCAGCUCGCUCCUGCCCGCGCCGGCCUCCGGCGUCCGCGCGAGCCACGCCCCGGAGCUCGCCUUCCCGCCGGUCAACAGGAAGGGCGGCGUCUCGCUGCGGCGCCGGGGAGCCCGGCACGGAGUCAGGGCUGAAGUGAAUGAAUCUGCAAGUGCUGUAGCGAUUGAUGCUCUCUCCCAAGUUAAGCAUGUUCUACUUCCGAUCACUGAUCGCAACCCUUACCUUUCAGAAGGCACAAGACAGGCUGCAGCCACAACCACUUCUCUAGCAAAGAAGUAUGGAGCAAGCAUUACAGUAGUUGUUAUUGAUGAUAAGCCAAAGGAGUCAUUUCCAGAGCAUGAUACUCAAAUGUCAAGCAUUAGAUGGCACCUUUCUGAAGGUGGAUUUACAGAGUUUGGGUUGAUGGAGCGCCUUGGAGAAGGAAAGAAGCCGACAGCUAUCAUCGCAGAAGUCGCAGAUGAUUUGGAGUUAGACCUGGUCGUCCUUAGUAUGGAAGCGAUCCACUCGAAGCACGUCGAUGGGAAUUUGCUGGCUGAAUUCAUCCCCUGCCCCAUUCUGGUGCUCCCCCUCUAAUAAUGUCAUCUGUUUCUUUUUGGGGGGCUUUUAUCAUUUCAGAUGAAAUUCCUGACUAUUUCAUGGAUAUGAUGAUGCAUUUUGGGUUAGCUAUUUCAUGGAUAUGCAGGUUUGUGAUCAUGUGAAUAUUCAUAAGAACAAUAAGAGUGGUUCCUUUGUGAAAUUUGCUGUUCUGUUGCAUAAUCCUGUCAUGUAAAUACAUAUACUGCCUUGUUUUUGUAAUAAUUAAAUAAAGAUUUUGCUGUAAAAAAA